rnacentral:lncRNA from 1 species
UAUGCCAUCAGAGUGGCCAUAGAAAAGGCAAAAAGACAGAAAAAAAAAAAAUGACAGGAACUGCUCUUUAUUUUGAAAUUUUAAUCUUGGCCGAUUUUGCGGAGGAUAGGAAAUAAUAACAAAUUUUUUACUUUUCUAACUUUUUGUUGCCAUACAUCUUAACAAAUUUCUAGGUUGGAGGAAGCUUUGACAGAGUGCUAUGAAAUUGUAAGUAGGUGGAGUUUAUGCCCAGAGAUGAUGCGGGACAGCUAGGUAUACUCUUAGUAUGUGGUAUAAAAAUCUUUUAUUAGAAUUGAGUGAAAACCACAUAAUGCUUUGUUCCUUCUUUUUGUACAUAUAUCUGUGGUGUAGGUUGCAGACACUGCUCGGAUCCUGCGUUGCUGUGGCUCUGGUGUAGGCCAGCGGCUACAGCUCUGAUUAGACUUGUAGCCUGGAAACCUCCAUAUGCUGCGGGAGCGGCGCUAGAAAUGGCAAAAAGACCAAAAAAAAAAAAAAAUUUUUUUUUCUGUUGAAGUAUAGUUGAUGUACAAUAAUAUGUAAGUUAAAAUUAUACAAUAUAGGGAUUCACAAUUUUUAAAGGUUCUACUUCAUUUAUAGCUAUUAUAAAAUAUUGGUUAUAGUCUCCCUGUUGUACAAUGUCCUUAUAGCUUAUUUUAUACAUGAGAGUUUGUACCUCUUAAUUCCUCACCCCUUUAUUGCCCCCUUUCACUUCCUUCUUCCCACUGGUAACCUCAAGUUCUCUAUAUCUGUAAAUUUGCUUCUUUUUUUGUCAUUUUCACUAGUUUGUUGUAUUUUUAGAUUCCACAUAUAAGUAAUAUCCUACAACAUUUGUCUUUCUCUGUCUUAUUUCACAUAGCAUAAUCCCUUCAAAGUCCAUCUAUGUUGUUGUAAAUGGCAAAAUUUCAUUCUUUUUAAUGACUGAGUAAUAUUCCAUUGUAGGGAUAUGUGUGUGUGUAUAAUGUAUAUAUAUAUUAUGUGUGUGUAUAUAUAUACAUAUGUAUAUAUGGAUUUUUUGAGAGAGGCUUUUAUAGCUUGACUGUUAGAGGUAGUUUUGUUUUUUUGUUUUUUUAUUUUUUUGUUUUUUUGCUUAUUAGGGCUGCACCUAUAGCAUAUGGAGGUUCCCAGGUUAGGGGUUCAGUCGGAGCUGCAGCAGCUGGCCUACACCACAGCCACAGCAAGGCCAGAUCUGAGCCUUGUCUGUGACCUACACCACAGCUCAUGGCAAUGCUGAAUCCUUAACCCACUGAGCAAGGCCAGGGAUCAAACCCACCACCUCAUGGUUCUUGGUCAGAUUUGUUUCUGCUGUGCCUCAACGGGAACUACGUGUUAGAGGUAGAUUAAAUUAAACAGCAAAUUCUUAAAAAGGUAAGAAUCAAUACAAAUGUGAAUUUAUGUUUUUAUGAAUUUAGCCAUCUAAAGGAAAGUGAUUUUUUAUUAUUUUGGUAAUAAACAGCAUUUUGUGUUUUGUUUUUUUUAAUUUUUAAAAGUACGGCGAUUUGAAAAAUUCCUGAUUUUUCUUUUUUUCCUUUUUUUAAUUCUUGAUUUUUCUUGAAAAGAAUCUUUCUUCCUCCUUCCCUUCCUUCCUUUUUUUUUUUUUUUUUUUUAGGGUCUUACCUGUGGCAUAUGGCAGUUCCUGGGCCAGGGGUUGAAUCAGAGCUGCAGCUGCUGGCUUCUGUCACAGCAAUGCCAGAUUUGUGUCACAUCUGUGACCUGUGCUGCAAUUUGCAGCAAUGUUGGAUCCUUUAAAACAUAAAUUAGGUGGGAUAAUGUAGGAAAAUAGUGGAAAACAGCCAUAAUAGUCAGAACGAAUAUGAAAGUCUUAAAUUUAGGGCUCAGAGACAAUGGUUAUAAAGUACUAAUUGUCUCAUUUAUUGUAGAAAAACUUUUGAUUAAGUACAUGUCAUUGACAUAAGUAAAAGACAAUUCCUGCUCUGUAGGUUAACUCAGAGUGAUGAUUUUUGAAGAAUCUUAAAUUUUAAAUCCAUUGUUCUAUGUUUUCUAAGAAAGUGCAAAGUCUAGUUUUUAAUUUUUUUCCCAUGCCCAUGGCAUGCAGAAGUUUCUGGGCCAGGAAUUGAAUCUAUGCCACAGCAGUGACAAUACUAGAUCCUUAACCUGCUGAGCCAUUGGGGAACUCUAAAUUCUACUUUUUGAGACUGAUCUUUUUCAGUUUUAUUUAUCUUAAGUAGUUGCUUUAGGAGUUCCCAUCAUGGCACAGUGGUUAACAAAUCCGACUAGGAACCAUGAGGUUGCAGGUUCGAUCCCUGGCCUCGCUCAGUGGGUUAAGGAUCUGGCAUUGCCAUGAGCUGUGGUGGAGGUUGCAGAUGCGACUUAGAUCCCGAGUUGCUGUGGCCCUGAAAUAGGCUGGUGGCUACAGCUCUGAUUCGACCCCUAGCCUGGGAACCUCCAUAUGCCACGGGAGCGGCCCUAGAAAAGGCAAAAAGCCAAAAAAAAAAAAAAAAAAAGUA